rnacentral:rRNA from 1 species
UAAGGAAUAUUGGUCAAUGGACGCAAGUCUGAACCAGCCAUGCCGCGUGAAGGAUGAAGGUCCUCUGGAUUGUAAACUUCUUUUAUCUGGGACGAAAACGGGAUUUUUAUCUCAAUUGACGGUACCAGAGGAAUAAGCACCGGCUAACUCCGUGCCAGCAGCCGCGGUAAUACGGAGGGUGCGAGCGCUAUCCGGAUUUACUGGGUUUAAAGGGUGCGUAGGUGGGCUUAUAAGUCAGUGGUGAAAUCUCCGAGCUUAACUUGGAAACUGCCGUUGAUACUAUAGGUCUUGAAUUAUCUGGAGGUAAGCGGAAUAUGUCAUGUAGCGGUGAAAUGCUUAGAUAUGACAUAGAACACCAAUUGCGAAGGCAGCUUACUACAUAUAAAUUGACGCUGAGGCACGAAAGCGUGGGGAUCAAACA